rnacentral:rRNA from 1 species
UACGGGGGGAGCAAGCGUUGUUCGGAUUUACUGGGCGUAAAGGGCGCGUAGGCGGCCACCGCAAGUCGACUGUGAAAUCUCCGGGCUUAACCCGGAAAGGUCAGCCGAUACUGCGGGGCUAGAGUGCGGAAGGGGCAACUGGAAUUCUUGGUGUAGCGGUGAAAUGCGUAGAUAUCAAGAGGAACACCUGCGGCGAAGGCGGGUUGCUGGGCCGACACUGACGCUGAGGCGCGAAAGCUAGGGGAGCGAACGGG